CGCCACUCUUCUCUGUAGCCCGGCAACCGCUGCAGCUGGAACCCGCCCCGCCCCUGCUCGUUGGGAGCCCCGCCCCCGGAUCGGCCUCUUCUCCCAGAAUCUCACCAUGCCUCUAGUUAGUCCCUGAGGAAAUAGGAGCAGACUCCAGAUCACAUCACACACAGAGGAAGAUGUUAGCCACAUCUAUGGCUAUAACCCUUCAGCUUGGGUCACUGAAGACUGAGGAUCUAACUCACAAACGGAUACUCUAACGCUUAUCCAAAAAUUGAACUUAUCUCAAUGGAAAAGUAUCUUUGGAGACCUGCUGCCUCGCUCAUGUGUUGUUGUCCUUCAGAAAGAUGGCAGUGAAGCCAUAAUUUGACCUUCUUUAUCCCAAAGUCAAGCUGGCAUCCAGUCGCAUGUUGUUUAUCCAGGGUGCAUACUGUGCUCCUGUUGGCAUGGUGACUGAUUCAAAAGGAGCAGACUGGCCAUUGACUAUCACCAUUUGCCAUCACAGCUGCUGGUGCUGCUGCUGCUGCCUCAGAUGCCAGGCCACAUGUGGACAGGCAAGAGUCAGCAGGAGCUUGGAGCGCAGAGUAUGGACUUCUACAUCGGUUUCUCAAGACAGCGCCAACCACAAAGGACACCGACAGACUCUCUAGCAUCAGCAUCUGCCACAGACAUAAGCAUCAUUUCCCCUGGUAGUACCAACCAUGGUGCAGCAGGGCCAUGUCAUGUUCUACUUUAAUGAUGGAGAUCCAUGUCUGUGAGAAAUCUCAGUGACUUUCUCUCUACUUUAGCAUUUUAAAGUGAAAGUGGAACAUUGAGAGAUGCCUCUAAUUCCCAGGAUGCUUACUGUUCGGGAAGUAACCUAGCUUUUCUCCAGUCUCUGUUCUCAGAC
rnacentral:lncRNA from 1 species